UACGUAGGGAGCAAGCGUUGUCCGGAAUUAUUGGGCGUAAAGGGCGCGUAGGCGGCCAUGCGUGUCUUCCGUGAAAUCCCUCGGCUUAACUGAGGACGUGCGGAGGAAACUGCAAGGCUCGAGUCCGGGAGAGGGGGGUGGAAUUCCACGUGUAGCAGUGAAAUGCGUAGAGAUGUGGAGGAACACCGAUGGCGAAGGCAGCCCCCUGGGUUAACACUGACGCUCAGGCACGAAAGCGUGGGGAGCAAACAGG
rnacentral:rRNA from 1 species